AAUAGAUACCCGGGUAGUCCACGCCGUAAACGAUGAGUGCUAAGUGUUGGGGGGGUUUCCGCCCCUCAGUGCUGCAGCUAACGCAUUAAGCACUCCGCCUGGGGAGUACGGUCGCAAGACUGAAACUCAAAGGAAUUGACGGGGGGCCCGCACAAGCGGUGGAGCAUGUGGUUUAAUUCGAAGCAACGCGAAGAACCUUACCAGGUCUUGACAUCCCGGUGACCACUAUGGAGACAUAGUUUCCCCUUCGGGGGCAACGGUGACAGGUGGUGCAUGGUUGUCGUCAGCUCGUGUCGUGAGAUGUUGGGUUAAGUCCCGCAACGAGCGCAACCCUUAUUCUUAGUUGCCAUCAUUUAGUUGGGCACUCUAAGGAGACUGCCGGUGAUAAACCGGAGGAAGGUGGGGAUGACGUCAAAUCAUCAUGCCCCUUAUGACCUGGGCUACACACGUGCUACAAUGGACGGUACAAACGGUUGCCAACCCGCGAGGGGGAGCUAAUCCGAUAAAACCGUUCUCAGUUCGGAUUGUAGGCUGCAACUCGCCUACAUGAAGGACC
rnacentral:rRNA from 1 species